UGGGGAUCGAGAUUCACUCCAAACCCAUGUGACAUACCUACUGUUGCUUCGGCGGGAUUGCCCCGGGCGCCUCGUGUGCCCCGGAUCAGGCGCCCGCCUAGGAAACUUAACUCUUGUUUUAUUUUGGAAUCUUCUGAGUAGUUUUUACAAAUAAAUAAAAACUUUCAACAACGGAUCUCUUGGUUCUGGCAUCGAUGAAGAACGCAGCGAAAUGCGAUAAGUAAUGUGAAUUGCAGAAUUCAGUGAAUCAUCGAAUCUUUGAACGCACAUUGCGCCCGCCAGUAUUCUGGCGGGCAUGCCUGUCUGAGCGUCAUUUCAACCCUCAUGCCCCUAGGGCGUGGUGUUGGGGAUCGGCCAAAGCCCGCGAGGGACGGCCGGCCCCUAAAUCUAGUGGCGGACCCGUCGUGGCCUCCUCUGCGAAGUAGUGAUAUUCCGCAUCGGAGAGCGACGAGCCCCUGCCGUUAAACCCCCAACUUUCCAAGGUUGACCUCAGAUCAGGUAGGAAUACCCGCUGAACUUAAGCAUAUCAAUAAGCGGAGGAA
rnacentral:rRNA from 1 species